rnacentral:rRNA from 1 species
CCUACGGGAGGCAGCAGUGAGGAAUAUUGGUCAAUGGCCGGAAGGCUGAACCAGCCAUGCCGCGUGAAGGGCAGGGACCUAGGGGCGGGAAACUUCUUUUGGGCGGGAGCAAGAAUGGUCACGUGGGGCCAGACGAGAGUACCGUACGAAUAAGCAGCGGCGAACUCCGUGCCAGCAGCCGCGGUAAUACGGGGGAUGCAAGCGUUAUCCGGAUUUCUUGGGUUUAAAGGGUGCGUAGGCGGUGAGGUAAGUCAGCGGUGAAAUGCUCCCGCUCAACGGGGGGAAGUGCCAUUGCUACUGCCUUGCUGGACUGCGGCUGCCGUGGGCGGACUGUGUGGUGUAGCGGU